GUUCGACUAAGCCAUGCGAGUCGAAUGUAGCAAUACAUGGCGAACUGCUCAGUAACACGUGGACAACCUGCCCUUAGGUUGGGUAUAAACCCGGGAAACUGGGUAUAAUACCCGAUAGGUCUCGAUUGCUGGAAUGCAUCGAGAUUUAAAGCUCCGGCGCCUAAGGAUGGGUCUGCGGCCUAUCAGGUAGUAGUGGGUGUAGCGUACCUACUAGCCUACGACGGGUACGGGUUGUGAGAGCAAGAGCCCGGAGAUGGAUUCUGAGACACGAAUCCAGGCCCUACGGGGUGCAGCAGGCGCGAAAACUUUACAAUGCUGGCAACGGCGAUAAGGGAACCUCGAGUGCCAGGUUACAAAUCUGGCUGUCGAGAUGCCUAAAAAGCAUUUCAUAGCAAGGGCCGGGCAAGACCGGUGCCAGCCGCCGCGGUAACACCGGCGGCUCGAGUGGUAACCGUUAUUAUUGGGUCUAAAGGGUCUGUAGCCGGCCGGAUAAGUCUCUUGAGAAAUCUGGCAGCUUAACUGUCAGGCUUUCAGGAGAUACUGUCUGGCUCGAGGCCGGGAGAGGUGAGAGGUACUUCAGGGGUAGGGGUGAAAUCUUGUAAUCCUUGAAGGACCACCAGUGGCGAAGGCGUCUCACCAGAACGGCCCUGACGGCAAGGGACGAAAGCUAGGGGCACGAACCGGAUUAGAUACCCGGGUAGUCCUAGCCGUAAACGAUACUCGCUAGGUGUCGGCCACGGUGCGACCGUUGUCGGUGCCGUAGGGAAGCCGUGAAGCGAGCCACCUGGGAAGUACGGCCGCAAGGCUGAAACUUAAAGGAAUUGGCGGGGGAGCACCACAACGGGUGGAGCUUGCGGUUUAAUUGGAUUCAACGCCGGAAAUCUUACCGGGACCGACAGCAAUAUGAAGGCCAGGCUGAAGACUUUGCCGGAUUAGCUGAGAGGUGGUGCAUGGCCGUCGUCAGUUCGUACUGUGAAGCAUCCUGUUAAGUCAGGCAACGAGCGAGA
rnacentral:rRNA from 1 species